CGCUGUUGAACUGUCGUAGUGGGGAACAGGAAGUUCCGGGUAGAAAACGACAGACCUGUGUUGUUAUGUCGAUAGUGGUUGUGUCCGUUUCAACUGUAUUAUUGUAGGAGUUUACUCGCGGUGAAAUGGCGACAUGAGGCUGUGUGAUGGAGUGUCAAAAUAGAGGGAAGCUAACUUCACCAUUUGGAGAGUGAGGCCAACUGCAUGGAAUGGGGUCGAUUAAUGCGGAUGAAUCGGAGCUCGUAUCAAACUCAUUCCAUGGAGGACCAAGUGUCUGCGGGUUUUCGCUCCACCCUUGUACUUGAUUAAUGAAUGAAGGUCACUAAUUAUAAAGGAACUCCCCUCAUCUGAUUGUCUUGGUUAUAAUUGAAAUGGAGAAAAAAAAAAUACCAGCGGAGACUCGGCCCUCAAUGGAAUGAGUUUGACAACCCUGAAACAAUGGAAAUGGAGAGAGAGUUUGAGAAGCAACAGCUGUGCUGGAAUGCGAUCAAUCUGGGCGACAUUUCUGAUGAUACGGAGCGGGAGGAUGAGGGCCUAGAAUGUGAAUGGUCUGUAGUGGAAAGACAGGAAGAACAGAGUAGUAAUGUGUCACAGUGGAAAGUUGGGAUGGUGUUUGAGGAGACAACAGGGCCUCAUUUACACCCUAUCUGAUUAACCAAGGCCGUAAAGAGAGAGGUGAAGUUAAACUGGGCUGCAUCUGUGUAAAUGAGAACUUGUUCUGAACUAUUCUACCUGGUUAAAUAAUGGUGAAAUAAAACAUUUAAGAUGGCAGAUUGUUAAUAUCAUGUGCUAGUCAGGUUCAGCAAGGGAAUAUUAUUCAAUUGGAUAAUCAUAAUGGGACGAAGCUCAGAAGCCAUGACCCUGGAACUUAUGCUAAAUUGAAGGGAGUAAUCUGAGGUCCCAAUAUCUAUGUCCAUGGAUGAUCAUGUUAAAGAACAUGUGAAGGAGACAGAGUGGUUGAAGCCUAAAGGUUGAUCAGUAGGAAAGAUGGUUAAAGAAGUGAAAGCUUAUCAGUGCUGUUGAGGUUUGAGAAGGUUUUGUCUGGAAAAGUACAGAAUAGGAUUCCUUAGCUUCCAUGUCAGAGAUUUUGACCCAGCCUCAUCAAUCAACCAAUCAAAUGUAUUUAUAAAGCCCUUCUUACAUCAGCUGAUGUCACAAAGUGCUAUACAGAAACCCAGCCUAAAACCCCAAACAGUAAAGUGUAGAAGCACAGUGGCUAGGAAAACCUCUCUAGAAAGGCCAGAACCUAGGAAGAAACCUUGAGAGGAACCAGGCUAUAAGGGGUGGCCAGACCUCUUCUGGCUGGAGAUUAUAACAGAAAAUGGCCAAGAUGUUCAAAUGUUCAUAGAUGACAAGCAGUGUCAAAUAAUAAUAAUCACAGUGGUUGUCGAGGGUGCAACAGGUCAGCACCUCAGGAGUAAAUGUCAGUUGGCUUUUCAUAGCCGAUCAUUCAGAGUAUCUCUACCGCUCCUGCCGUCUCUAGAGAGUUGAAAACAGCACGUCUGGUGAACAGGUCAGGCUUCCAUAGCCGCAGGCAGAACAGUUGAAACUGUUAGCAGCAACGGAGAAUCAUCACAGUGUUUUUAAAUGCCAAAGAAUGGGACAUGUAGCUGUUGAGUGAAAAGAUGUGCCAAGUGGCUGGUCCUGUAGUAAGAGGACCUACUGUCAGACUGAUGGAGCUUCCAUGGUUGGUCCCGUAGUAAGAGGACCUACUGUCAGACUGAUGGAGCUUCCAUGGCUGGUCCCGUAGUAAGAGGACCUACUGUCAGACUGAUGGAGCUUCCAUGGCUGGUCCCGUAGUAAGAGGACCUACUGUCAGACUGAUGGAGCUUCCAUGGCUGGUCCCGUAGUAAGAGGACCUACUGUCAGAACUGCUCUUUCUACUAGUCCUGACAUGGUUUCGAGGGCUGUUCAGAAAUCUUGCUCCCAUAAAUACGCUGUGACAAAGGAUACUUUAAUAUUGAAUAAAAUAUACUUCAUAGCUUUCAUUGGUAAAGUUAUCAACAACUUGGAUUGUGUAAAGCAGAAAUACCAGGUUGAAAGUUAUCUUGUAAACUGCAGCAGAGUUGUUGGGGGUAACAGAUGUUACUGUCGGUAUGGUUUUUGAUAAGCUGGAUAACCUGGGGGUGGAUUGUCUCAGCAUGAUAUAGACCCCAAUGUUUGCAAACACAGAAAGGGAUCUAUUGAUAAAGUUUAUUGGGGGUGUGGGAGGGUUUUUGGGGAAGGGGAGUGUGUGUAAGAAGUUAAUAAGGAUUUCUUGGUUUAUUUUCAUAGUACAGAAUUAGACAGACAUGGACCUUAAAUGUUUGUUUGCGGACCACCAUGAUACCAUAGGACACAGGUGUCGAACUCAUUCCACGGAGGGCCGAGUGUCUGCGGGUUUUCGCUCCUCCCUUGUACUUGAUUGAUGAAUUAACAUCACUAAUUAGUUAGGAACUCCCCACACCUGGUUGUCUAGGGCUUUAUUGAAAGGAAAAAACAAAAACCUGCAGACACUAGGCCCUCCGUGGAAUGAGUUUGACACCCCUGCCAUAGGAGGUCUGCAUCAACGGACUUCAGUGCAGGCUGACUCAGAUUAAGUCUGAGGCCGGUAACAUCAACAGUGAGGACAAACCCAGCCUGCCACUCUCCUUCCACACUGAGUAGAAACCUACAGUCACUGGGUCCUGAUUGUGACAGUGGAGCCCAGUUUGCACUGCAGGAUCCAGAGAUGGCAUCAGUGAAGCUGGAGGACUGCAGUCAAACACUGGAGCUGAAUGUCAACAUUAAAGAUGAAGAAGAAGAGGAGGAGAAGAUUAGAACAACUGUUAGUCAUGGAUACCAUGUAGAGACAUUCUCUACAUCCAGAGAGCAACAGCAGGAAGAUCAGAGAGCUAAGAGGUCUCAUCACUGCCCACAUUGUGAAGAGAUUUUCCCAUUUCUAUCAAAGCUAAAAAUACACCUAAAAAUACACACAGGAGAGAAGCCGUACUCCUGCUGUGGAAAAUGCUUCAAAACAUCAAAUGAGCUAAAAGUUCAUAAGAGAACACACACAGGAGAGAAGCCUUUUUCCUGCCCUGACUGUGGAACUCGGUUCUCUAAACUUGACCACUUAAAAUCACAUGAACGUAUACAUACAGGGGAGAAGCCAUACUCCUGCUCUGACUGUGUAAAAUAUUUCAGAACAUCAACUCAACUAAAAGUUCAUCAGAGAACACACACAGGAGAGAAGCCUUACUCCUGCUCUGACUGUGGAAAAUGCUUCACAACGUCAACUGAUCUAAAAGUUCAUCAGAGAACACACACAGGAGAGAAGCCUUUUUCUUGCCCUGACUGUGGAACUAGGUUCUCUAAACUUUCCAUCUUAAAAUCACAUGAACGUAUACACACAGGAGAGAAGCUUUACUUCUGCUCUGACUGUGUAAAAUGCUUCAAAACAUCAACUCAGCUAAAAGUUCAUCAGAGAACACAGGCAUGAGAGAAGCCUGCUUACGUCUCCUCUGACUUUUGGGUGAGUUUCUCUCACCAUAGCAACUUAACACACCAAUGUUUAGACACGGGAGAAGCCUUACUCCUGCUCUGUGGAGGGGUGAGCGUGUAAGUCAAACGUCUAGCCAAAGGCUGCGUGUUUGAAUCUCAUCAAGGAGGACUUUAGCAAUUUAGCUAAUUAGCAACUUUGCAACUUCUUACUAUUUUUUAGCUAUGUUAGCAUGUUAGCUUAGCAUGCAACUACUUAGCAUGUUAGCUAACCUUUCCCCUAAACCCAUUUAACUCUACCUUAAACCCCUCACCCCUAACCUAGCUAACGUUAGCAACAACAAAUUGGAAUUCGUAAGAAAUCAUACAUAUUACAAGUUCGUAACAUAUUGAAUGAAUAGCAAUGCGUAACAUAACAUAUGAAUUGUAAUUCUUAACAUCUGAUACGUCCUACAAGUCGUAUUAUACUGAACAACAAUCUAAACGCAACAAUUUCAAAGAUUAACAGUUUGUAUAAGGAUAUCAAUCAAUUGAAAUAAAUGAGGCCCUAAUCAAUGGAUUUCACAUGACUGGGCAGGGGCUCAGGCUUGGGUGGGACUUUGGAGGGCAUAGGCCCACUUGGGAGCCAGGCCCAGCAAAUCAGCAUGAGUUUUUCCCCACAAAAGGUCUUUAUUACAGACAUAAAUACGACUCACCCCCCUCCCAGACAAUCCUGCAGGUGAAGAGGUCCUGGGCUGCCGUGGAUACAUGUGAUCUGCAGUUGUGAGGCCGGUUGGAUGUACUGCCAAAUUCUCUAAAAGGACGUUAGAGGUGUCUUAUGGUAGAGAUAUAAAUAUUGAGUUCUCUGGCAACAGCUCUGGUGGACAUUCCUGCAUUCAUCAUGACAAUUGCACAUUCCCUAAACUUGAGACAAAUGUGACAUUGUGUUGUGUGGCCUUUUUUUGUCUCCCAGCACAAGGUGCACCUGUGUAAUGAUAAUGCUGUUUUAUCAGCAUCUUGAUAUGCCACACCUAUCAGGUGGAUGGAUUAUCUUGACAAAGGCUGAAAUGCUCAUUAACAGGGAUAUAAACAAAGUUGUGCACAACAUUUGAGAGACAUUAGCUUUUUGUGCAUAUGGGACAUUGCUGGAUUUUAUUUCAGCUCAUGAAACCAACACUUUACAUGUUUAGUUUAUAUUUUAGUUUAUUUACUGUGAUAGUCCAAACAUACUAAAUGGAGUGGCACUGAAGUUUUUGUAUAUUAUAAAACGUUUUGCUCUGAGACCAGGUUGUCCCUCUGCAGUAUUCUGUGGGAAGGAGCUAGUAUACCCUUUUUAUUUGUUUUUAUUGAACCUUUGUUAAACUAGGCAAGUCAGUUAAGAACCAAUUCUUAUUUACAAUGGUGGCCUAGGAACAGUGGGUUCAGAUUUUUACCUUGUCAGCUCGGGGAUUCAAUCUAGAAACCUUUUGGUUAUUGGCCCAACACUCUAACCACUAGGCUACCUUCCACCCCUAACAUGUAUCAGAUAGAGAUGGUGUGAUGAUCACUUUUCACCAUUAGUUUGGGGGGGAUUGUUUUACAACUUUAUUUAAUGAUACACAGUUUAUGAAAUGAAUACAUGUGUUUAUUAAUUGUCUUUAAAGCUAGAUGAGUUAUUUUAGUUACUGAUCAUGAAUGUGUUUGGAUAACUGCAUUGAAGAAAACGUUAUUGAUCUGCCAAUGAAAAAUAAAGUUACAGGAAUA